AUGGUCCAGUGGUAGGAGAGCGUUCUAAGGGCGGUGAAGCAUGAUCGUAAGGACAUGUGGAGCGCUUAGAAGUGAGAAUGCCGGUAUGAGUAGCGAAAGACGGGUGAGAAUCCCGUCCACCGAAUAACUAAGGUUUCCUGGGGAAGGCUCGUCCUCCCAGGGUUAGUCGGGACCUAAGGCGAGGCCGAUAGGCGUAGUCGAUGGACAACAGGUUGAUAUUCCUGUACUUCUAUAAAUCGUUUGAGCAAUGGAGGGACGCAGGAGGCUAAGAAAAGCGUACGACUGGAAGUGUACGCCCAAGCAGUGAGUCGGCUGAUGAGUCAAAUGCUUAUCAC
rnacentral:rRNA from 1 species